rnacentral:rRNA from 1 species
GCCAGCAGCCGCGGUAAUACGUAGGUCCCGAGCGUUGCGCGGAGUCACUGGGCGUAAAGCGUCCGCAGCCGGUCGGGUAAGCGGGAUGUCAAAGCCCGCCGCUCAACGGCGGAACGGCAUCCUGAACUGCCCGACUUGAGGCACGCCCGGGCAGGCGGAAUUCCCGGGGUAGCGGUGAAAUGCGUAGAUCUCGGGAGGAACACCGAAGGGGAAGCCAGCCUGCUGGGGCUGUCCUGACGGUCAGGGACGAAAGCCAGGGGAGCGAACCGGAUUAGAUACCCGGGUAGUCCUGGCCGUAAACCAUGGGCGCUAGGGCUUGUCCCUUCGGGGGCAGGCUCGCAGCUAACGCGUUAAGCGCCCCGCCUGGGGAGUACGGGCGCAAGCCUGAAACUCAAAGGAAUUGGCGGGGGCCCGCACAACCGGUGGAGCGUCUGGUUCAAUUCGAUGCUAACCGAAGAACCUUACCCGGGCUUGACAUGCCGGGGUAACCUCUGCGAAAGCGGAGGGUUUUCGUUCCUCUGGAACGAACCCCGGCACAGGUGGUGCAUGGCCGUCGUCAGCUCGUGUCGUGAGAUGUUGGGUUAAGUCCCGCAACGAGCGCAACCCCUGCCCCUAGUUGCUACCCCGUUUGGGGAGCACUCUAGGGGGACUGCCGGCGAUAAGCCGGAGGAAGGUGGGGAUGACGUCAGGUCAGUAUGCCCUUUAUGCCCGGGGCCACACAGGCGCUACAGUGGCCGGGACAAUGGGAUGCGACCCAGCGAUGGGGAGCUAAUCCCUAAACCCGGUCAUGGUGCGGAUUGGAGGCUGAAACUCGCCUCCAUGAAGCCGGAAUCGGUAGUAACGGGGUAUCAGCGAUGUCCCCGUGAAUACGUUCUCGGGCCUUGCACACACCGCCCGU